UACUGAGGUCUCAAGCGUUGUUCGGAUUUACUGGGCGUAAAGGGCGCGUAGGCGGUCAGCACAAGUCAGUUGUGAAAUCUCCGGGCUUAACUCGGAAAGGUCAACUGAUACUGUGCGACUAGAGUGCAGAAGGGGCAACUGGAAUUCUCGGUGUAGCGGUGAAAUGCGUAGAUAUCGAGAGGAACACCUGCGGCGAAGGCGGGUUGCUGGGCUGACACUGACGCUGAUGCGCGAAAGCCAGGGGAGCGAACGGG
rnacentral:rRNA from 1 species